rnacentral:lncRNA from 1 species
GCGUGCGCUCGUGCCUUCGAGCUUGGACCGUGCUGCACCCGUGGCCCGCGCCAGAGCGUUCUGAGAACGUCGACGGGGCUGCGAGUACCUGGGCCAGCUGCUGACGUAGCCUCCGUGAAGAAGGUCGAGUGCGUCGUCCAGCGGGGCGUAGCGGCCUUUUGCACGCGGCUUGCGCCUGCGGCUCCAAAUCUUCGAGAGAGCGGCCGCACAUCCGGACAGAAGCAAUGUCGAACACUAACGUCUACCGCCAACCUUCCCAAGUAAGCGUGACGGGAUCCGGCAGCUCCAACUCACGCAUAGAAGUGAGCACGGUGCAAGUGAACGAGGACGAGCAGGGCGGUAACCUGACCAUCUACGGCGGAAACCCAUGCAACAUCCGGACCACCAUCUCAGCAGAAGGCACGAACUACCAGAUCGCGGACGAGACUGG